UCAAACUUGGUCAUUUAGAGGAAGUAAAAGUCGUAACAAGGUUUCCGUAGGUGAACCUGCGGAAGGAUCAUUAUUGAAUGCUUUUUUUGCAUUUCUUACCCGCUGGGCGAGUGGGCUUUAAACCUGCUUGCCCGGUUACCUUCUGGGUAGGUGGGCUUCAAACCUGCUUGCCCGGUUAUCUUCUGGGUAGGUGGGCUUCAAACCUGCUUGCCUGGAAUUACUUCGUGGAAAAUUGUCUGAAGCAUUAAUUAAACAAAACUUUCAACAAUGGAUCUCUUGGCUCUCGCAUCGAUGAAGAACGCAGC
rnacentral:misc_RNA from 1 species